UUCAAAAUAAGGGCACGUACACAAGCCAACAAUUAGUCAGUUUUAAUCAAACUCUGGUCCGGUUCGCUUGGGCAGUUAUGAACGCAGUAAUUGUACUCUGGUGAAGACCAAAACAACCGGUCUGAGACCGCUUGCGAGUGGUGGUCUCGG